UCGGAGAGUUUGAUCCUGGCUCAGGACGAACGCUGGCGGCGUGCCUAAUACAUGCAAGUCGAGCGAACAGAAGGGAGCUUGCUCCCGGAUGUUAGCGGCGGACGGGUGAGUAACACGUGGGUAACCUGCCUGUAAGACUGGGAUAACUCCGGGAAACCGGAGCUAAUACCGGAUAGUUCCUUGAACCGCAUGGUUCAAGGAUGAAAGACGGUUUCGGCUGUCACUUACAGAUGGACCCGCGGCGCAUUAGCUAGUUGGUGGGGUAAUGGCUCACCAAGGCGACGAUGCGUAGCCGACCUGAGAGGGUGAUCGGCCACACUGGGACUGAGACACGGCCCAGACUCCUACGGGAGGCAGCAGUAGGGAAUCUUCCGCAAUGGACGAAAGUCUGACGGAGCAACGCCGCGUGAGUGAUGAAGGUUUUCGGAUCGUAAAGCUCUGUUGUUAGGGAAGAACAAGUGCGAGAGUAACUGCUCGCACCUUGACGGUACCUAACCAGAAAGCCACGGCUAACUACGUGCCAGCAGCCGCGGUAAUACGUAGGUGGCAAGCGUUGUCCGGAAUUAUUGGGCGUAAAGGGCUCGCAGGCGGUUUCUUAAGUCUGAUG
rnacentral:rRNA from 1 species